GAAUUAGUAUCUUAAUUGGUAAAGGGCCUUCCUGUCACGAGGGAAUAUAUCGGUUCGAGACCGUUCUAAUUCG
rnacentral:tRNA from 1 species